AUGUUUAAAAUGGAGGCCAAAAAGUCAGGCACUAGUUUUCCAUUAGAGAAUCUGCCUGUGGGGAUUUGGCCAGGGAAAUCUUUGCCAUAAGGGUAAUGGUUGCCCUUGAACAAUGUUUUGAGGUUUUGUGGCAUCGCCUGUGUUGGAAUUGGAAAUGUGCACUAGGAGAAGAAUAAGAAAGAGUGUUGUGGGUGCCAUUUUUGUAUCUUGUUUUAGAAACAUAUAUAUUUUGGAUUUAUAGGGUUAUAGGCCAUCAAAUAAAGUGUUGGAUUGAGAACCAUGAAAGUUAAAAUACAUGGAGAUGAAGGCAGAAACUUGGCAUGGAUGUCAAGUUAUGUAUAUUUUCUUAAGAACACCACUAUGUAUAACUAGACCACGUGUUAUGGACGAAGUGGUUGAUCUUGUACCCUAAAAAUGAGUAAGGUCAAUUACGUUGUCAACCCAUGUAUAAUACGUGGACAUAUCAUAUUAUAAUUUUUUCUUUACACAA